rnacentral:tRNA from 1 species
GCUCCCUUCGUCUAGCGGUCAGGACAUCGCCCUCUCAAGGCGGGAACAGGGGUUCGAUUCCCCUAGGGAGCGCCA